rnacentral:lncRNA from 1 species
ACAUGCUCGCUAGGAUAUCGCAUCCUAUGCAUACGUAUCUCCUUGGACGAAGGAGAAUCAGAGCAUUCGUAGCUCGGCUGACACGCCCACAAACAAACACAGGCAAAGGCAAACAUGGAGCCUGAAUGCCAAUCACUGGACUUACAUCAGCAUCCGAACCAAAACGCACACAAGAAGGCAAACGUGGAGCCUGAAUGCCAAUCACUGGGCUUACAUCAGCAUCCGAACCAAC